AUUAAGGUAACGCCCCACCCCUGAUACCAGUAAUAAGAACUACCUGAUUAAGGUAACGCCCCACCCCUGAUACCAGUAAUAAGAACUACCUGAUUAAGGUAACGCCCCACCCCUGAUACCAGUAAUAAGAACUACCUGAUUAAGGUAACGCCCCACCCCUGAUACCACUAAU